AAGGUGUGUCGUGAGGCAUGCUGGAGGUAUCAGAAGUGCGAAUGCUGACAUAAGUAACGAUAAAGCGGGUGAAAAGCCCGCUCGCCGGAAGACCAAGGGUUCCUGUCCAACGUUAAUCGGGGCAGGGUGAGUCGACCCCUAAGGCGAGGCCGAAAGGCGUAGUCGAUGGGAAACGGGUUAAUAUUCCCGUACUUGGUGUUACUGCGAAGGGGGGACGGAGAAGGCUAUGUUGGCCGGGCGACGGUUGUCCCGGUUUAAGCGUGUAGGUGUGUGUUCCAGGUAAAUCCGGUUCACUUUAACACUGAGGCGUGACGACGAGGCACUACGGUGCUGAAGCAACAAAUGCCCUGCUUCCAGGAAAAGCCUCUAAGCAUCAGGUAACAUCAAAUCGUACCCCAAACCGACACAGGUGGUCAGGUAGAGAAUACCAAGGCGCUUGAGAGAACUCGGGUGAAGGAACUAGGCAAAAUGGUGCCGUAACUUCGGGAGAAGGCACGCUGACACGUAGGUGAAGUGAUUUACUCAUGGAGCUGAAGUCAGUCGAAGAUACCAGCUGGCUGCAACUGUUUAUUAAAAACACAGCACUGUGCAAACACGAAAGUGGACGUAUACGGUGUGACGCCUGCCCGGUGCCGGAAGGUUAAUUGAUGGGGUCAGCGCAAGCGAAGCUCCUGAUCGAAGCCCCGGUAAACGGCGGCCGUAACUAUAACGGUCCUAAGGUAGCGAAAUUCCUUGUCGGGUAAGUUCCGACCUGCACGAAUGGCGUAAUGAUGGCCAGGCUGUCUCCACCCGAGACUCAGUGAAAUUGAACUCGCUGUGAAGAUGCAGUGUACCCGCGGCAAGACGGAAAGACCCCGUGAACCUUUACUAUAGCUUGACACUGAACAUUGAGCCUUGAUGUGUAGGAUAGGUGGGAGGCUUUGAAGUGUGGACGCCAGUCUGCAUGGAGCCGACCUUGAAAUACCACCCUUUAAUGUUUGAUGUUCUAACGUGGACCCGUGAUCCGGGUUGCGGACAGUGUCUGGUGGGUAGUUUGACUGGGGCGGUCUCCUCCUAAAGAGUAACGGAGGAGCACGAAGGUUGGCUAAUCCUGGUCGGACAUCAGGAGGUUAGUGCAAUGGCAUAAGCCAGCUUGACUGCGAGCGUGACGGCGCGAGCAGGUGCGAAAGCAGGUCAUAGUGAUCCGGUGGUUCUGAAUGGAAGGGCCAUCGCUCAACGGAUAAAAGGUACUCCGGGGAUAACAGGCUGAUACCGCCCAAGAGUUCAUAUCGACGGCGGUGUUUGGCACCUCGAUGUCGGCUCAUCACAUCCUGGGGCUGAAGUAGGUCCCAAGGGUAUGGCUGUUCGCCAUUUAAAGUGGUACGCGAGCUGGGUUUAGAACGUCGUGAGACAGUUCGGUCCCUAUCUGCCGUGGGCGCUGGAGAACUGAGGGGGGCUGCUCCUAGUACGAGAGGACCGGAGUGGACGCAUCACUGGUGUUCGGGUUGUCAUGCCAAUGGCACUGCCCGGUAGCUAAAUGCGGAAGAGAUAAGUGCUGAAAGCAUCUAAGCACGAAACUUGCCCCGAGAUGAGUUCU
rnacentral:rRNA from 1 species